CAAGAAAUUAUUUGUAAAAUGGAAUGAGGAAGCAGAUCCCGCUGAAGCUUAUAUUGUGGCUGCAGGAGCUCCAGAUGCCCUUGAAAAAAAACGAAACAAGAUGUUGAAGGCUCUUGAACUUGUGUCAGAUAUAUGUGGUUCCACGGAAGAAACUGCAGCGUGUGCAAGCUGCCAGGAAAAAAACAAAAGGAUAGAUGACCUCGAAUAUGCAAAUUCUAGGCUUUCAAAAAAACUUCGAAAAGCAAAGGAAAAGUGUGAAAUGACCAAGAUGAUGGGGAAAAUGGAAGACAUAAUAGCAGCAGCAUCAU